GCAUAUAAAUCCCACUAAUUCAAGUGAAAUCUCUGCUUAUUCUUUUGUCAAUAUAGGUGAGUUUCCAUUUGUCUAUUUGCUAUGGAGGCCAAAGAGGUUUCCUGUAAACUUGAAGAGGCUCUUAAAAUUUCCAGGACUGUUGACAUAAUUUCAUAAACUCUGGAAAAUAUUAGCUGUGGAUGAAAAUGUUUCCCUUUGCCAGCAGAUGUCACCGUUGCCUCUUAGCACUGACUAUAGUGUCUACAGGAGAUGAAGAUGAUGGAGAGCAAGCGAAGUAUUUUACUAAAAUCUCUGAAACUCCAAAGGAAGAAGGAAUAUGGUCCACAAAAGCAAGGGAGUGCACUGAGAGAAAAGGCAUGGGACCCCUGGAACAAACUUUGAUAGGAGAGAGGCAAAAGGAAUUCACCAGCAUGGUAAUGAAAAGUCCUAGAUGAGAACUUCUGAGUGGAUCCAAGUGCAACUCUCCCAUACUACAGCAGGAAAACAAAAACUCCAAGAUGGAGGACUCCCAAAGGAAAAGCAAUGGUGUUUACCAACAGAGUUUUACUAUUCUUGUGGUGAGUUUAAAGAAAAAUUAGCAGUAUAGACAGAGUCAACUCAGCAAACAAGAAAUAAAAUAAGGGUUUAUUAACUACAGGGAGACAAAAAUAUG